AGCCUGCCAGGCGUAAUGAGAACUGCUAAUUCCUCACACAUGGUUCGACUCCAUGCUCGCUC
rnacentral:tRNA from 1 species